rnacentral:rRNA from 1 species
UACGAAGGGGGCUAGCGUUGCUCGGAAUCACUGGGCGUAAAGCGCACGCAGGCGGCUUUGUAAGUUAGAGGUGAAAGCCCGGAGCUCAACUCCGGAACUGCCUUUAAGACUGCAUCGCUUGAAUCCAGGAGAGGUGAGUGGAAUUCCGAGUGUAGAGGUGAAAUUCGUAGAUAUUCGGAAGAACACCAGUGGCGAAGGCGGCUCACUGGACUGGUAUUGACGCUGAGGUGCGAAAGCGUGGGGAGCAAACAGG